UCUCGGUUCGGGCCGCCUGCUUGGGCGUCAUGGCAUCGUCGCCUUUGCUCCUUGCUU
rnacentral:rRNA from 1 species